rnacentral:rRNA from 1 species
UACGUAGGGUGCGAGCGUUGUCCGGAAUUAUUGGGCGUAAAGAGCUUGUAGGCGGUCUGUCGCGUCUGCUGUGAAAAUCCGGGGCUCAACCCCGGACUUGCAGUGGGUACGGGCAGACUAGAGUGUGGUAGGGGAGACUGGAAUUCCUGGUGUAGCGGUGAAAUGCGCAGAUAUCAUGAGGAACACCGAUGGCGAAGGCAGGUCUCUGGGCCACGACUGACGCUGAGAAGCGAAAGCAUGGGGAGCGAACAGG